rnacentral:rRNA from 1 species
UCGGAUUGCAGGCUGCAACUCGCCUGCAUGAAGUCGGAGUUGCUAGUAAUCGCAGAUCAGAAUGCUGCGGUGAAUGCGUUCCCGGGUCUUGUACACACCGCCCGUCACACCAUGGAAGCCGGUAACGCCCGAAGUCAGUGACCCAACCGAGAGGAGGGAGCUGCCGAAGGCGGGACAGGUAACUGGGGUGAAGUCGUAACAAGGUACC